CCUACGGGAGGCAGCAGUGAGGAAUAUUGGUCAAUGGACGAGAGUCUGAACCAGCCAAGUAGCGUGAAGGAUGACGGCCCUAUGGGUUGUAAACUUCUUUUAUAAAGGAAUAAAACGAGGCACGUGAGCAUUUUUGCAUGUACUUGAUGAAUAAGGAUCGGCUAACUCCGGGCCAGCAGCCGCGGUAAUACGGAGGAGCCGAGGGGUAUCCGGCUUUAUUGGGUUUAAAGGGAGCGGAGAGGGGUUGUUAAGUCAGUGGUGAAAGUGUGCGGCGCAACCGUAAAAUUGCAAUUGAUACUGGCAGUCUUGAGUACAGUGGAGGUAGGCGGAAAUCGUGGUGUAGCGGUGAAAUUCUUAGAUAUCACGAAGAACCCCGAGUGCGAAGGCAGCUUACUAAACUGUGACUGACAUUGAUGCUCGAAAGUGUGGGUAUCCAACAGGAAUAGAUACCCGGGUAGUU
rnacentral:rRNA from 1 species